AUGAGGUGGUCUUUUUGGGACAGUCUUAUUAAGAAGCUGAUCUUUAGGGUUUUUUUGUCUCCAAGUGAAGCAGCCAAAAAUAGUAUUAUUCAAACAAAAACACUGAAUUUUCACAAAAAAGAAAGAAAGAAAAAAAAGUUUCAACAUCAACCACCACUAAACAAACUACAACAACAGCCACGACAACCUCUGUUCCUCACACUGUUCACACUCACUCUGAAGGGUGUUCAUUCACUCGCUACACAAAACUGCUAUUCUGAAUAUUUGUAUAAUCUAACACAAAAUUGAAAUUGCCUUCUCUCAUGAUCAUAUCAUUUUGAAUAUUCAUUUAAAAAGAAUUUAUUAAUAAAAACUGCAGAUAAUAAAUCUGAUUUUGUGAA
ensembl:lncRNA